rnacentral:rRNA from 1 species
GUGAGGAAUUUUCCGCAAUGGGCGAAAGCCUGACGGAGCAAUGCCGCGUGAAGGAUGAAGGCCUAUGGGUUGUAAACUUCUUUUCUCAGAAAAGAAUUAUGACGGUAUCUGAGGAAUAAGCAUCGGCUAACUCUGUGCCAGCAGCCGCGGUAAGACAGAGGGUGUAAGCGUUAUCCGGAAUGAUUGGGCGUAAAGCGUCUGUAGGUUGUUUAAAAAGUAUUCUGUCAAAGAUUAGGGCUUAACCCUAGAUAGGCAGAAUAAACUUUUAAGCUAGAGUUUGGUAGAGGCAGAGGGAAUUCCCGGUGGAGCGGUGAAAUGCGUAGAUAUCGGGAGGAACACCAAAGGCGAAGGCACUCUGCUGGGCCAAUACUAACACUGAGAGACGAAAGCGAGGGGAGCAAAUGGGAUUAGAAACCCGGGUAGUCC